rnacentral:rRNA from 1 species
GGACGACCUUCGGGAGCCUAUACAGGUGUUGCAUGGCUGUCGUCAGCUCGUGUCGUGAGAUGUUCGGUUAAGUCCGCUAACGAGCGCAACCCUCGUCGUAUGUUAUAUGUGUCAUACGAGACUGCCGGUAAAAAGCCGGAGGAAGGUGAGGAUGAUGUCAAGUCAGCAUGACCUUUAUAUCCAGGGCUACACACACGCUACAAUGGUCUGUACAAUGGGUAGCCAAGCCGCGAGGCGGAGCCAAUCCUGAAAGCAGGCCUCAGUUCAGAUUGCAGUCUGCAACUCGACUGCAUGAAGCCGGAGUUGCUAGUAACCGCAGGUCAGCAAUACUGCGGUGAAUACGUUCCCGGGUCUU